rnacentral:rRNA from 1 species
CGUAUCGGAUUAUUGGGCGUAAGAGCUCGUAGGCGGUUUGUCGCGUCUGCCGUGAAAGUCCGGGGCUCAACUCCGGAUCUGCGGUGGGUACGGGCAGACUAGAGUGAUGUAGGGGAGACUGGAAUUCCUGGUGUAGCGGUGAAAUGCGCAGAUAUCAGGAGGAACACCGAUGGCGAAGGCAGGUCUCUGGGCAUUAACUGACGCUGAGGAGCGAAAGCAUGGGGAGCGAACAGGAUUAGAUACCCUGGUAGUCCAUGCCGUAAACGUUGGGCACUAGGUGUGGGGGACAUUCCACGUUUUCCGCGCCGUAGCUAACGCAUUAAGUGCCCCGCCUGGGGAGUACGGCCGCAAGGCUAAAACUCAAAGGAAUUGACGGGGGCCCGCACAAGCGGCGGAGCAUGCGGAUUAAUUCGAUGCAACGCGAAGAACCUUACCAAGGCUUGACAUGGACCGGACCGCCGCAGAAAUGUGGUUUCCCCUUUGGGGCCGGUUCACAGGUGGUGCAUGGUUGUCGUCAGCUCGUGUCGUGAGAUGUUGGGUUAAGUCCCGCAACGAGCGCAACCCUCGUUCUAUGUUGCCAGCGCGUUAUGGCGGGGACUCAUAGGAGACUGCCGGGGUCAACUCGGAGGAAGGUGGGGACGACGUCAAAUCAUCAUGCCCCUUAUGUCUUGGGCUUCACGCAUGCUACAAUGGCCGGUACAAAGGGUUGCGAUACUGUGAGGUGGAGCUAAUCCCCAAAAAGCCGGUCUCAGUUCGGAUUGGGGUCUGCAACUCGACCCCCAUGAAGU